CCCUCCUCAUGUGCAUCUUUCAACUGCUUCCCACUUUCUCUCUCCGGGACUGAAGUGGCAAAUACAGGAGGGAAGAGGGCUUACAGACAGAGCUCCCAAUAAAAGGCCUUUAUACAGAGCUGCUGAAUGGCAAUCUGUUUUACAGGGCAUCCACCGCCUACUAGUGCCUCAAUCCCUCUCCACCUGUGAGGAGAGAAACCCAGAUAUGAGAAAAGAGACAGGGGCAUUUCUUCACACAUGGUGAGUUAUCACUAAGGAUGACACAUUUUACCACAUGCUGGUCUACAAUUGGUCGCCUGAACUCAUAACUCCGAUUUUCUGUUUUGUAAUCCUUUUCAAGGAUUGGGAUGGAACAGCCCGUCUCUCUGCCCGCCGGUCUAUCAGCAUCCAUCUGUCUGUCUGUAUAGGAACGUCUCUGCAGGGCUCCACUGAUGAGGGUCAUGUAAUAGCUGCUGUAUAAUGGGCUCAAAGGAGGCUCAUUCAGGCUGAAACACCAUUUAAACCCACCUGUUUCCCUCCUCCUCCUCCUUUUUAUCCUCACGUCCUCCUUAGUACAGGAGUAGGGUGCAGCAUAUAGCUUAUUGUAUGGCCUCCGAACACACACAUACUGUACACACUCACAAACACACACUGUACAGGGUGUUAAACAUCAAAGCUAAGUGUGAGGUUCACUUAUAGCAGACCUGGAGUGCUUUACUAGUAUGGCCUUGCUGCACAGAUCCAGUGUCUGAAAGCGUUUACACAUGCUGCGCCACGUAUAAUUGUUUUUUUUUUCCGAUGGCUGAUGACAAUGGUGUGGCCAACGAAUGGCUGAUGGUCCUCAAUCCUCAUUAUGAACAAAACAAGAAAAUGUGACAAAUGUGAUACAGUAGAGUUAGAUGCUUGGACACAGCUUGGCCAUUGCUUUUCUCAUUCUUUUACUUGAAUGUGUAAGAAACAUGCAUGUGCUAGUGGGCUGAGAAGCCACUUUGUUUAGAGGUUGCUGGUAUUUUCAGAUGAUUCCAUUCUAGGACCCAGUUCCAGAAGUUUUUAGCCACACAAAAAGUCAUUGGCAUGUCAAGGAUAGAGAUAUAGAGUAACAGGCCUUUGUCUAGUGAGCCCCAGGUUCGCUGAGGGUAUCGUGCUCAUGCUAACACUCGUCAUGUUUCAUGAAGCAGUAUGGCAUGAGACGGCUUUUUUUUUUUUUAACACCCAGUAUAACUGUCCUCUACUUUAACACAACACACAUAGUAUGUUUGGUGGGG